CCUUCAGCAUGGCCUUUGACAGUUUACACGACACUUCGCUAUCAAGACCAUGGUGAGAGUC
rnacentral:pre_miRNA from 1 species